UACGGGGGGUGCGAGCGUUGUCCGGAAUCACUGGGCGUAAAGGGCGCGUAGGUGGUUUGAUAAGGGUGUGGUGAAAGUCCGGGGCUCAACCCCGGAUCUGCCGUGCCGACUGUCAAACUCGAGGGCUGUAGAGGCAGACGGAAUUCCGGGUGUAGCGGUGAAAUGCGCAGAUAUCAGGAAGAACACCCGUGGCUAAGGCGGCUCUCUAGUACGGUACUGACGCUGAGACGCGAAAGCGUGGGGAGCGAACAGG
rnacentral:rRNA from 1 species